AGCGAACGCUGGCGGCAGGCCUAACACAUGCAAGUCGAACGAACCUUUCGGGGUUAGUGGCGGACGGGUGAGUAACACGUGGGAACGUGCCUUUAGGUUCGGAAUAACUCAGGGAAACUUGUGCUAAUACCGAAUGUGCCCUUCGGGGGAAAGAUUUAUCGCCUUUAGAGCGGCCCGCGUCUGAUUAGCUAGUUGGUUGAGGUAAUGGCUCACCAAGGCGACGAUCAGUAGCUGGUCUGAGGGGAUGAUCAGCCACAUUGGGACAGAGACACGGCCCAAAUCCCCAGGGGAGGAAGGAGGGGGGAAUCUUGCGCAAUGGGAGAAAGCCGAAGGCAGCCGGGCCGUGAAAAUGAGGAGGGUUUGAGGAGUGAAAAUUUCUUUCCCGGGGGCAAACAAUGGGGUUACCGGAAAAGAAAGCCCCGGCUAGCUUCGUG
rnacentral:rRNA from 1 species